UUCCCUUACAACUUAUCAGCUUAAGCUUUAAUAUUUUGUAGGAUGUUUGUACACAUAAUAGAGGUGUGCGUGUCCACAGGAUUUUGAUUUUAUUUUAAAUAUUCUCUAAGUGCCAGGUAUUUUUAUAUCGUCAUAUUUUAGUACUGGCUGCAUAGAACAGAUCAUGGUAUAUACGCGGUGACGGCUUUCUCCUCGUACAGUUUAGGAGCUGCAGCUUUAAUCUUUUGUAGGAUGUUUGUACAUAUAAUGGAAGUGUGCAUGCA
rnacentral:lncRNA from 1 species